rnacentral:lncRNA from 1 species
GGGAUGUGUCAAAUGUAUAAAGAUCCACUGCUUUCCUAAGUCGAGGUUCAGAACUAUAAAAUGGUGUGGCUGGACUUGGAAGAUCUUUGAUCUGUGCUAGGAUGCAUUCUUUGCAGAGGUAAUGACAGUAUCUUCAUUCUCUGGAGAAAAAGUUCAUAUAGACCUGAAUCAAAAAUUAAGAUGGUAAGCUAAAAUUAUUUAGCUAAAAUUAUUUAAAAUUAUUACAUAUUAGGCACUUCCCAUAAGCCACACUGUGCUCUGUGUUAUCUCAUUACAUUUUCACAAUGUAGCCACAGUUGUUCCCAUUUUACAGAUGAAAAGAUGCAGCCCCAGAGAGAGAAGAGACGUCUCUGUCUGCUCCAUGCUCAGCAUCCUUCCCCCUUUUUCUGGUGCCAGNNNNNNNNNNNNNNNNNNNNNNUGGGCCCUGGGUGCCUGGCGCACGUGGGUCCCGACACUCCUUCCCACACUAGGGAAGUGGAGGAGGUGGUCAUGCUGUGCUCUCUGGGCACAAGGGUUUGGGUUGCUGUUUCUCAGUUCUUAGUCCAGUUCUCAGCUGGACUGCACACAAGCCAAGCUUCCAUCUCAGUGUGGUUUGAAGGUGGCCAAAUGCUCUGGUGGCCUCCAAGUAUUCAUUCCCUGACUUGUU